AUACAAGUCCGAACCCGCUUUUUUUUUUUUUUUUUUUUCUUUGUUCCCUGAUUCCAUGUACUUAGGCAAAGCUCAAAGUCAGAACCUGGUAAAACUCAAAAGUAGGUCAGGAAAAUAGAAUCGUAAAAGAUGUCAGAGAGUCAAGUGAAGAAAGGAGAGAGAGGGAAAAAAAGACCUUUCGUUGGCGCUUAAGCCAGUAAAACCUCUUGGUGACUUCCUCCGCACCAGUGCCCAACAAAUGUCUGAACUGUUGAGCGUCCAAGACAAGGAAAGCGUGACCUGUAUGUGGCCCGAGAACUGAAUGGACCCAACGUGGAGAAGAACAAGACAGCUCCGCGAUUUUAUUUAUUCAUGAGAGACCCACAGAGAGAGAGAGAGGCAGAGACACAGGCCGAGGGAGAAGCAGGUUCCCUGCGCGAUGUGGGACUCGACCCCAGGACCCCGGGAUCACAACCUGAGCCAAAGGCUGAUGCUCAGCCAUUGAGCCAUCCAAGGGCCUCUCAACCUAGACUUUCUGGAGUUUUAAUCAUGCAUAAAGACACUAACUACAGCAGAAAAUUGAACCUAGGAUCCUUCAUGGCUGUGGCGUCGUGUCUUCCUGCACCUGUGUACCCUCACAUGCUGAAUACCUGCCCUUCUCUUUCAUUUUCCCCAUUAGUCCUCAGGCCAUUGCCUCCCUUCCCAGCCUAGACUGCAGGGUUUAUCAGCAUCCACACUCCCUGCGUCCGAUGCCUCUGACCCAGGAGCCUGUCAGAACUGUAACCCUGAAUGCAUCCCAUAAAUCCCCAGCUCGGUGCCCUGGAGGAAGCACUACACAAGGGCGUAUGGUCUCCAGUGUCAGCUCACCAGAUUCUUGACAAUCCUUUAAUUGGUCGUUCAUCAGUUUCCGGUCUUACGGUGUUCAGUGCUUUCUUACAAACCACCCCUUCCCAGCCUCAACUCCUGUCUUUGUUAGAAGGUGCCCAAUGUAGUCUGAAAGGUGUUUUUCAGACACAUGCAUCUGCAGUGUUUAUGUCGGUUCCUGCUCAUUUUAAUUUCAUGUUCCCUUUCUAGAUUGUACUUUAGAGAAGGAUGACAGACCUUUGAGUGGCAUGAUGGGGAUGCUCAGGGAGACAACCCUGCAGUUGGAACUUUACCUUUAAUGCACGUGGUGCUCUGUGGCAGCUCAUGCUUUGGGUUAAAAUAAGCAAAUGUCUUUUUAAAGUGAAGGGAAGGAAAAAUAAGAGGAAAUCAGCAAGGGAAACAACCACAGAAGACUCUAAUUGUAGAAAACAAACAGGAUCACUGGAGGGAAGAUCAGUAAGGCCGAAAAGUUGAUUCACUUGAUCUGGGGUAAUAGAAAUAGGUGAAAAUACUAAGAUGGAUUCUCCUCCCUACCUGCCAUCAGUCACCCAUUCACUGCAACAAAGAUUCCCUACGGGCCACACAUAUUUCCAGCAGCCUUGUUUCCAGUUACCAGAAAAUGCAAGCCAUCCUACAACAUGCAUCUUAAUGUCCUGCCUCCCCAUUUCCCUCCCUGCCCCAUGUACCUCCGUCUUACUUAUCCCAGGAGAUGGAAUAUACCCCCACCUAUGCUGUGGAUCAGUACUUCUCCUUCUAGACCCCUCAGCUGCAUUUGGUACCACUGAUCAGAUCCUCCUUGAAACCUAACUCCCUUUGCGUUGCUUCUUUUUUUUCUGCCUACUUCAUACUUCUUAGCUGGCUCUUUCUCUCCCUGCCCUUUAAACAGUGUAGGUUCCAACAUUUUAUUAUUAUUAUUAUUAUUAUUAUUAUUAUUAUUAUUAUUAUUAUUAUCUGUAUUUUCUCCUUGGGAGUAUCACCCACUCAUUGUUUUAAUCUAUUUGCUCAUGGAGCCUAAAACUGCUGUUCCAGACUUCUUUGAGGUUCAGACUUUUAUUUCUAUUGGUUCACAGUCUCCUUGAACCUUCCUGGGUGUAAUCGGAAACCAGGCCCAUAGUUGGAGGGCAGGGAGAGGUGGAAGAAAGAGGCCACUCCAGAGGGGUAGGUAGCAGGUUGACGAAGCAAAGGAACUUACGUACAAGGCUUGUUCUGCCUGCCAAACCUCGAAAGUUUACGCAGAAUCCUGAAUGGGGUCCAGUCACGUAUGCAAUCCAGAUGGGUCUCAGCAGCACAUCACUAUCUCAAGGCUGUGUCCUUGGAGCAGCCUCUGGACCCAGGGGAGGCAAGCUGGACACACAUUUCAAGGACAGGGGAGGGCAUGAUGAGCCUCCAGUUGCCGGUGUCCAGCUCACAGGUCAACCAGUGGUCAUGUCCCUUUGGUGACUCCUACAAUGAUUUCCUGGCCUUCUAGAUGGAUCCACUUGGGAGGGCUCAUGAGCCAUUCCAACUUUAAUUUGUCCCUUUCACUUCCACUAUCUCAGUGCUGUCCCUAGCCUUACCACCGCUGCCCACACGCCCAAAUUCAUCUUGUAAGUAGCAGCCAGAGGGAUCAGUCCCAAAUGUAAACCCAAAAGUUUCACUUGUCUGCUUAGAUUUCUUCAAUCCAUCUUUCUUAUCACCUCCAAGAUAAAGUCUAACUCCAUAGCCUGGCGUGCUAGGAGGACCUCCAUGGUCUUGUCACUGUUUAUGCUUCCAAACUUAUCUCCCAUCACACCCACUCCCCGUUCAUGAGGCAGUUUGAGAUCUUAUUUUUAUUGACUAUUUGGGCUAUCCUGAUUUCUUUGCCUGACUCUUACUUAUCCUGGUUUUUCAGAGAGUCAAGAAGUUUUUACCUAUUCCAUAGUCUGAAUGAGUUGACUUUCCUCCUGGCUUUCUUGGCAAUCAUCUUUUCAUUCAAAAAACUUUAUUGAGCCUCUAAUUUUGUGCCAGACACUGAACUAGAUACUAGAAACAUAAUAGUGAACAAAUGUAUAAACCAAUCUAACAAUUGACCUGACAUCUUAUAUUCUCAUGGGGAAGGGAGGCAGGUCAUAAAAAUAUUUUUUUUUUUUUAGAAAAUGCAGUUCAACCCAAUUGGCUCCAUACUUGAGAAUAUCUAGGAAUUGGCCGGGUUAAAAGGGGAGGAGGAGAAGUGCUCAGAUAGAGGUAACAACUCGUGGGAAGACCCACACAUGAGAGUAGAGCACAGUCUAAGAACACAGAUUCUAGACAGGGGGCUGAGGAGGUAAACAGGGACCAGAUCAUGAAGAAUAUUCUAGUCCUGUUAAGGAGUUCUUCCUAAAGGUAAUAGAAAGCUUGAGGGGUUUUGACAUGAUAAGGUUUAUAUUUUAGAUGAUGGUUCUGGCUACCGUGAGAAAAAUAGAAUUCAAGAGUGGCAAGGAAACCAGUUCAAGAGGGAGGGAAACCAAUUGGGACAACAUUGUAAUACAGAGAAAGGAAGAUGGUGGCCUGCUCUGGGGUAUUGACAAUGUAAUGGAAAUAGAUCCCAGAGGAAUUUAGGAUGUAGAAGUGAUGGAACUUGAUGAACUAGGAUGGCAGAAGUAAGAGAAAGUAAGGAUAGAGUCUCAUAAACAGGUUUUUUUUUUAAUUAUAAAUUUAUUUUUUAUUGGUGUUCAAUUUGCCAACAUACAGAAUAACACCCAAUGCUCAUCCCGUCAAGUGUCCCCCUCAGUGCCUAUCACCCACUC